GUGUACGGCCAUGCCUCCCUGAACACGCCUGAUCCCGUCUGAUAUCGGAAGCUAAGCAAGGUAGGGCCUGGUUAGCACUUGGAUGGGAGACCACCUAGGAAGACCGGGUGCUAUAGGCA
rnacentral:rRNA from 1 species